rnacentral:rRNA from 1 species
GAUGAACGCUGGCGGCGUGCCUAAUACAUGCAAGUCGAGCGAGCGGACGAGAAGCUUGCUUCUCUGAUGUUAGCGGCGGACGGGUGAGUAACACGUGGAUAACCUACCUAUAAGACUGGGAUAACUUCGGGAAACCGGAGCUAAUACCGGAUAAUAUUUUGAACCGCAUGGUUCAAAAGUGAAAGACGGUCUUGCUGUCACUUAUAGAUGGAUCCGCGCUGCAUUAGCUAGUUGGUAAGGUAACGGCUUACCAAGGCAACGAUGCAUAGCCGACCUGAGAGCGUGGUCGGCCACACUGUAACUGAGACACGGUCCAGACUCCGACGGGAGGCAGCAGUAGGGAAUCUUACGCGAUGGGCGAAAGCCUAACGGAGCAAAGCCGCGUGAGUGAUGAAGGUCUUCGGAUCGUAGAACUCUGUUAUUAGGGAAGAACAUAUGUGUAAGUAACUGUGCACAUCUUGACGGUACCGAAUCAGAAAGCCACGGCUAACUACGUG